UUGGUCUGUACUGUAUAUGCUUAAAAUACACAACACACGUCAAAGUGUCUCAUCUUGUUUCAUUGAAUAUUUCUGGCCUCUUUUUCCGUUUAUGUCGUGUU